GAUGAACGCUGGCGGCGUGCCUAAUACAUGCAAGUCGAGCGAACAGACGAGGAGCUUGCUCCUCUGACGUUAGCGGCGGACGGGUGAGUAACACGUGGAUAACCUACCUAUAAGACUGGGAUAACUUCGGGAAACCGGAGCUAAUACCGGAUAAUAUAUUGAACCGCAUGGUUCAAUAGUGAAAGACGGUUUUGCUGUCACUUAUAGAUGGAUCCGCGCCGCAUUAGCUAGUUGGUAAGGUAACGGCUUACCAAGGCAACGAUGCGUAGCCGACCUGAGAGGGUGGUCGGCCACACGGGACGUGAGACACGGUCCAGACUCCUACGGGAGGCAGCAGUAGGGAAUCUUCCGCAAUGGGCGAAAGCCUGACGGAGCAACGCCGCGUGAGUGAUGAAGGUCUUCGGAUCGUAAAGCUCUGUUAUUAGGGAAGAACAAAUGUGUAAGUAACUAUGCACGUCUUGACGGUACCUAAUCAGAAAGCCACGGCUAACUACGUG
rnacentral:rRNA from 1 species